rnacentral:rRNA from 1 species
UACGUAGGGGGCUAGCGUUGUUCGGAAUUACUGGGCGUAAAGCGCACGUAGGCGGCUUUGUAAGUCAGAGGUGAAAGCCUGGAGCUCAACUCCAGAACUGCCUUUGAGACUGCAUCGCUUGAAUCCAGGAGAGGUGAGUGGAAUUCCGAGUGUAGAGGUGAAAUUCGUAGAUAUUCGGAAGAACACCAGUGGCGAAGGCGGCUCACUGGACUGGUAUUGACGCUGAGGUGCGAAAGCGUGGGGAGCAAACAGG